CCGUCGAGAGCUCAGUUGGUAGAGCGGUGGACUGUAGAUCCAUAGGUCGCUGGUUCAAAUCCGGCUCGACGGA
rnacentral:tRNA from 1 species